rnacentral:rRNA from 1 species
GCGGCAGGCCUAACACAUGCAAGUCGAGCGGUAGCACAGAGAGCUUGCUCUCGGGUGACGAGCGGCGGACGGGUGAGUAAUGUCUGGGAAACUGCCUGAUGGAGGGGGAUAACUACUGGAAACGGUAGCUAAUACCGCAUAACGUCGCAAGACCAAAGUGGGGGACCUUCGGGCCUCAUGCCAUCAGAUGUGCCCAGAUGGGAUUAGCUAGUAGGUGGGGUAACGGCUCACCUAGGCGACGAUCCCUAGCUGGUCUGAGAGGAUGACCAGCCACACUGGAACUGAGACACGGUCCAGACUCCUACGGGAGGCAGCAGUGGGGAAUAUUGCACAAUGGGCGCAAGCCUGAUGCAGCCAUGCCGCGUGUGUGAAGAAGGCCUUCGGGUUGUAAAGCACUUUCAGCGGGGAGGAAGGCGUUAAGGUUAAUAACCUUGGCGAUUGACGUUACCCGCAGAAGAAGCACCGGCUAACUCCGUGCCAGCAGCCGCGGUAAUACGGAGGGUGCAAGCGUUAAUCGGAAUUACUGGGCGUAAAGCGCACGCAGGCGGUCUGUCAAGUCGGAUGUGAAAUCCCCGGGCUCAACCUGGGAACUGCAUUCGAAACUGGCAGGCUAGAGUCUUGUAGAGGGGGGUAGAAUUCCAGGUGUAGCGGUGAAAUGCGUAGAGAUCUGGAGGAAUACCGGUGGCGAAGGCGGCCCCCUGGACAAAGACUGACGCUCAGGUGCGGAAGCGUGGGGAGCAAACAGGAUUAGAUACCCUGGUAGUCCACGCCGUAAACGAUGUCGAUUUGGAGGUUGUGCCCUUGAGGCGUGGCUUCCGGAGCUAACGCGUUAAAUCGACCGCCUGGGGAGUACGGCCGCAAGGUUAAAACUCAAAUGAAUUGACGGGGGCCCGCACAAGCGGUGGAGCAUGUGGUUUAAUUCGAUGCAACGCGAAGAACCUUACCUGGUCUUGACAUCCACAGAACUUUCCAGAGAUGGAUUGGUGCCUUCGGGAACUGUGAGACAGGUGCUGCAUGGCUGUCGUCAGCUCGUGUUGUGAAAUGUUGGGUUAAGUCCCGCAACGAGCGCAACCCUUAUCCUUUGUUGCCAGCGGUCCGGCCGGGAACUCAAAGGAGACUGCCAGUGAUAAACUGGAGGAAGGUGGGGAUGACGUCAAGUCAUCAUGGCCCUUACGACCAGGGCUACACACGUGCUACAAUGGCAUAUACAAAGAGAAGCGACCUCGCGAGAGCAAGCGGACCUCAUAAAGUAUGUCGUAGUCCGGAUUGGAGUCUGCAACUCGACUCCAUGAAGUCGGAAUCGCUAGUAAUCGUAGAUCAGAAUGCUACGGUGAAUACGUUCCCGGGCCUUGUACACACCGCCCGUCACACCAUGGGAGUGGGUUGCAAAAGAAGUAGGUAGCUUAACCUUCGGGAGGGCGCUUACCACUUUGUGAUUCAUGACUGGGGUG